rnacentral:rRNA from 1 species
GACGAACGCUGGCGGCGUGCUUAACACAUGCAAGUCGAGCGGUAAGGCCCUUUCGGGGGUACACGAGCGGCGAACGGGUGAGUAACACGUGGGUGACCUGCCCUCAGCUCUGGGAUAAGCCUGGGAAACCGGGUCUAAUACUGGAUAUGACUCCAUGACGCAUGUUGUGGGGUGGAAAGCCUUGUGCGGCUGAGGAUGGGCCCGCGGCCUAUCAGCUUGUUGGUGGGGUGAUGGCCUACCAAGGCGACGACGGGUAGCCGGCCUGAGAGGGCGACCGGCCACACUGGGACUGAGACACGGCCCAGACUCCGUACGGGAGGCAGCAGUGGGGAAUCUUGCGCAAUGGGCGAGAGCCUGACGCAGCGACGCCGCGUGAGGAUGACGGCCUGUGUACU